rnacentral:rRNA from 1 species
GACACGUGGUAUCCUGUCUGAAUAUGGGGGGACCAUCCUCCAAGGCUAAAUACUCCUGACUGACCGAUAGUGAACCAGUACCGUGAGGGAAAGGCGAAAAGAACCCCGGCGAGGGGAGUGAAAAAGAACCUGAAACCGUGUACGUACAAGCAGUGGGAGCACAGGUUUACCUGUGUGACUGCGUACCUUUUGUAUAAUGGGUCAGCGACUUAUAUUCUGUAGCAAGGUUAACCGUAUAGGGGAGCCGGAGGGAAACCGAGUCUUAACCGGGCGUUAAGUUGCAGGGUAUAGACCCGAAACCCGGUGAUCUAGCCAUGGGCAGGUUGAAGGUUGGGUAACACUAACUGGAGGACCGAACCGACUAAUGUUGAAAAAUUAGCGGAUGACCUGUGGCUGGGGGUGAAAGGCCAAUCAAACCGGGAGAUAGCUGGUUCUCCCCGAAAGCUAUUUAGGUAGCGCCUCGUGAAYUCAUCUCCGGGGGUAGAGCACUGUUUCGGCUAGGGGGCCAUCCCGGCUUACCAACCCGAUGCAAACUGCGAAUACCGGAGAAUGUUAUCACGGGAGACACACGGCGGGUGCUAACGUCCGUCGUGAAGAGGGAAACAACCCAGACCGCCAGCUAAGGUCCCAAAGUCAUGGUUAAGUGGGAAACGAUGUGGGAAGGCCCAGACAGCCAGGAUGUUGGCUUAGAAGCAGCCAUCAUUUAAAGAAAGCGUA